rnacentral:rRNA from 1 species
CCUACGGGUGGCAGCAGUGGGGGAUAUUGCACAAUGGGGGGAACCCUGAUGCAGCGACGCCGCGUGGGCGAAGAAGCGUCUCGGCGUGUAAAGCUCUGUCAGCAGGGAAGAAAAUGACGGUACCUGAAGAAGAAGCCCCGGCUAACUACGUGCCAGCAGCCGCGGUAAUACGUAGGGGGCAAGCGUUAUCCGGAUUUACUGGGCGUAAAGGGGGCGCAGACGGCGCUGCAAGCCAGGUGUGAAAGCCCGGGGCCCAACCCCGGGACUGCUCUUGGAACUGGCUGGCUGGAGUGCAGGAGGGGCAGGCGGAAGUCCUGGUGUAGCGGUGAAAUGCGUAGAUAUCAGGAGGAACACCAGUGGCGAAGGCGGCCUGCUGGACUGCGACUGACGUUGAGGCCCGAAAGCGUGGGGAGCAAACAGGAUUAGAUACCCGAGUAGUC